rnacentral:lncRNA from 1 species
GUAAUGGUGCAUCUGCUUUAGCAGAUCCUGGAAUCCUGGUUGUGAGGUAAGUACCUGGAUGCUUAUAUGGAGACACUGCUACCCUAGUUGUUUCUCAUAGUUUCUUUGAUUCUCAUUUCUCAGGAAAACUGCUAAGAAGAAAGACACUAAAAGCUUUAUAUUUUAAUUUCUUUUAGCUCAUUCUUGAAUCUCUAAAUGAAGUGACCAGAGGGCUGUUGAAUAUCACAUUUCUAGUUUCUGGUCUGUUUAAAACUCAAUUUGGUGACUGCUUCCUUUAAUGUGGGUGCACCUGCCUUUGGUUAUGUCUAAGUCAAAUUUGAGGAGAAGUGAAACUUCGAUCACUCUACCUUUGGUUGUUACACUGUUUUAGGGUAUGAUUUCCCUUGCCUUGGCCACCCCUAACCAGUCAGUGAGAAACAAGCUAAGGCAGGAUAGAAGCUGUGUGCUGAUGCAUGAAUGUUGGUGUCAGCACUUUUGGCAUCUGAGGGCGCUGGAGGGCAGAAGGAAUAUAAGGAUUGAGCAGCAGAAAGGAUCCCAGUGAGCAGUGCGCUGUGUGAGCUGGCCAUGACAGCCGUGUUCUCCCCACCCCUGACUCCUUACAGCUCCAGUCAAUCUCAGUCAUCUUA